rnacentral:rRNA from 1 species
GCAAGUCGAACGAGGUCCAUGGAGCUUGCUCUGGAAGACCUAGUGGCGAACGGGUGCGUAACACGUGAGAAACCUGCCCCGAUCUCUGGGAUAACAGUUGGAAACGACUGCUAAUACCGGAUGCCAUCACACCGUCUCAUGGCGGAGUGAUGAAAGAUUUAUCGGAUUGGGAGGGUCUCGCGGCCUAUCAGCUAGUUGGAGAGGUAAAGGCUCACCUAGGCGACGAUCUCUAGCUGGUUUGAGAGGAUGAUC